GCAGAAGAGAAAACGCAGGUGGUUGGGGCCAGGCUGUCUGAUCCGGAUGGGGGACUUUUUCCUCGGGGCAGAAUAAGUCGCGCUUUCUUCCUCAAACUUGGCGAACUUGGAGGGAGCUUGUCCCCAGAGAGGAGGAUGUGGUGAGCCCCGGAGAGGAGACGGUGGAGGCCCUGCUGGGCCUGGUCCGCAGCCGCCACUCCCCCUGGGCUCUGCUGAACAACUCGAAUGCAGAAGACAGUUUCCUGAGAGAAUUGGCCAUCCGGAACCCGCUGACGAUCACAGACACCUUCUUCUACUCCUACUUCCGGUCCCUGCGGGUAGUAGACAAGAAGGUCACCCUGGUGGAUAAAGACCUGCUGAAAUUUCUAAGGCUGGAGGAGUUGGUACUGAGCGCCAAUCGAAUCAAGGAGGUGGAUGCCACCAAUCUGCCCCCCACACUCAAGGUGCUGGAGCUCUACGGCAAUGAGAUCAGCAGCAUGGAGUGUCUGUGCGCCCGCCCACCCGCCGGCCUGCAGCACUUGGGGUUAGGCCACAACAAACUUCUAGGCCCCUUGGAAAGUCUCUACGUCACCGCUAAUCACUGGUAACUCGGGAGCCCAGAUGGAAAGCGAGAGGAAGGGAUUAAGUAUCAGGUUGGGGCGAUUCUACCCCGGUGGCUUGAGAACUCAG
rnacentral:sRNA from 1 species